rnacentral:rRNA from 1 species
UACAUGGGGUGCAAACGUUGCUCGGAAUCAUUGGGCGUAAAGCGCGCGUAGGCGGUUGCUUAAGUCGGAUGUGAAAGCCCUCGGCUUAACUGGGGAGGGUCAUUCGAUACUGAUCGACUCGAAGGCAGGAGAGGGAAGUGGAAUUCCCGGUGUAGUGGUGAAAUGCGUAGAUAUCGGGAGGAACACCAGUGGCGAAGGCGACUUCCUGGCCUGUUCUUGACGCUGAGGCGCGAAAGCUAGGGGGAGCAAACGGG